rnacentral:rRNA from 1 species
CGGCGGACGGGUGAGUAACGCGUGGGUAACCUGCCUCAUACAGGGGGAUGACAGUUGGAAACGGCUGCUAAUACCGCAUAAGCGCACAGUACCGCAUGGUACCGUGUGAAAAACUCCGGUGGUAUGAGAUGGACCCGCGUCUGAUUAGCUAGUUGGUGGGGUAACGGCCUACCAAGGCGACGAUCAGUAGCCGACCUGAGAGGGUGACCGGCCACAUUGGGACUGAGACACGGCCCAA